rnacentral:misc_RNA from 1 species
ACCAGAGGACAGGGACUUAUUAAAAGAGGAGAAACGGAAAGAGAAAAAACAUAAAAAGGAAAAGGACAAGGAUAAGAAAGAUGGUAAAGAAAAAAGGGAUAAAGACAGAAGUGAUGGGAAACACAGAGAAAAGAAGGACAAAAAGGAUAAACACCGGGACAAGAAGGAAAAACACAAGGACAAAAAGGACAAGGAUAAGGAUAAAGAGAGAAGCGACCUCUCUGAAGAGGCAAAAGUUGCUGUUCCACCUGGGGCUUCUAGCGGACAGAAGCUUCCUAGUGGAGAUUACAAAAAUGAAAGCAUCAACUCGCAGGAAGCGAAAUUCCAUGAUCAGUCUCAUGGCCAGCUUGCAGAAAAGCUCUUUAAAUCCAGCCUCCCCGUUGUUGAGACGGAGGAGUCUAAAUAUGUGCAGGAUUUGGCUAGGAGGCUUAGAGAUGACCAGAAUGGCGCAGUCAGUCAGUUGGCUAAGAGAUUUCCAGUUGAGUCGAAAAGGGAUGCGAAGUCAAACAGUAUGUAUAUCAAGGAUUCGGGUAAUUUGGCUAGAGAAAAGGAAAAGAACAAGGAGAGAAAUGAUUUUAGCAACAAGAUGGAUGGACAACAACUCAGAGUUGAACCGAGAAUUGGUGCUAAUGCAAAACUUCCAAGCUUUUCAGAGAUGGAAAAGAGAAACUUUCAUGGAUUGCUACCACCAUUGGAAGAGAAUGUUGAGAACAGGAGAGAGGACAAAGAGAAAUCCAAAGGAAGACGAGAUGACAAACCAAGAGACAAGAAGAAAAAAGAAAAGGAUGGGAAAAGUCAUGGAAAGGAUAAAGAAAAGAAAAAGGAAGAGAAGGGGAAGGACAAAAGUGCACACAAGAAAAGUGA